UACGUAGGGUGCAAGCGUUGUCCGGAAUCAUUGGGCGUAAAGCGCGCGUAGGUGGUCCUGUAAGUCCGCUGUGAAAGUCAAAGGCUCAACCUUUGAAAGCCGGUGGAUACUGCGGGACUAGAGUACGGAAGAGGCGAGUGGAAUUCCUGGUGUAGCGGUGGAAUGCGCAGAUAUCAGGAGGAACACCAAUAGCGAAGGCAGCUCGCUGGGAUGUUACUGACACUGAGGCGCGAAAAGCGUGGGGAGCGAACAGG
rnacentral:rRNA from 1 species